rnacentral:lncRNA from 1 species
UGCUCUUUAAUUUUAUUACAUCUAUUUAUAUCUUAUUAUAUUGUAUAUGUCUUUACAAGUUGCUGUAGUUAUUAUUAUCUUUGAUCCGUUUUAGUCUUCUUACUCAAGAUGAGUAGUGCGCACACCACAAUGUCUGUGUACUUACUAUUAUCGUGAGUUUUGUACCUUUAGUUGAUUUGUUAUUGUUCAUUAAUGUCCCUUUCCUUCAGA